AUUGAACGCUGGCGGCAGGCCUAACACAUGCAAGUCGAGCGGAUGAAGGGAGCUUGCUCCUGGAUUCAGCGGCGGACGGGUGAGUAAUGCCUAGGAAUCUGCCUGGUAGUGGGGUAUAACGUCCGGAAACGGGCGCUAAUACCGCAUACGUCCUGAGGGAGAAAGUGUGGGAUCUUCGGACCUCACGCUAUCAGAUGAGCCUAGGUCGGAUUAGCUAGUUGGUGGGGUAAAGGCCUACCAAGGCGACGAUCCGUAACUGGUCUGAGAGGAUGAUCAGUCACACUGGAACUGAGACACGGUCCAGACUCCUACGGGAGGCAGCAGUGGGGAAUAUUGGACAAUGGGCGAAAGCCUGAUCCAGCCAUGCCGCGUGUGUGAAGAAGGUCUUCGGAUUGUAAAGCACUUUAAGUGGGGAGGAAGGGCAGUAAGUUAAUACCUUGCUGUUUUGACGUUACCAACAGAAUAAGCACCGGCUAACUUCGUG
rnacentral:rRNA from 1 species